UCGACAGAUCAAAUUCAUCGACUAUCGGAUUCUUAACUAGACUCAACACAAUCGGCGGUACAACUGGGGCAAAAGUGAUUUCGUGAGUGAUGAGUGAGUUUAACAAAGUUCUGAGUUCAAAUCUGUUCAUCACUACAACUUUCCCUUUAUUUCUCAGAGUGGCGCAACAGAUUCCGGUGAUGCCGUAAAUGUGGAAGAAUGGAAUGAGUCCGAGAGUGGUGACUUGACCUAUCAUGUCUGAUCCGACGCUGAAAAGUGAGGAGCAGAGAUUGGAAACUAGGUUUCUGUGAGUUAGCAUUACGCCUUUUGAUAAUCCUGUUGUUCCUGAUGAAAAUGGAAGCGCACAAAUCUCUGUUUGUUCAAUUUUUUCAUCUUUAAUAUUCCCUGCUUUGUCUCCUGCUUCAAGCAAAUCUUCCCAGUUCAUGGCCUCCUCAACUCGUUCUUCACCUAAAACAAUCACAGGUAAUCCUGCACUCUUCACCUGGUCCAUCAUUAAGCAAACUAAUUAAAACCAAGUUUUAUAUGCGUUGAAAUCGUUCUAGUCUGUGAUUUGAAUUUGCUUUAAAAUAAUUGUUUACCAGAAUAUUUUAAGAUAGAAACUGACUAGAAAGAACCUCAAAGUUACCUUUUCAUAAUUUAUUGUAUCUGUGACAAUGAGCUUGGCGUCACCUAGUUGUGCCUGCUUCUUUAUUUCUGAAGCAUGAGCUGUUGGGUUUGCACCAGAGAAGACACAACCGGCAGCCAUGAUACCCAGAGCAACAAUGGCGUAUUCUGCAAUAUUGGGUAGCACCAAGAUCACCAGAUGUCCUUUCCUUAACCCAAGCGACUUUAAGGCUUUGGCAAAUCUCUUGGUGUCCUUCACAACUUG
rnacentral:lncRNA from 1 species